AUUACUCCUACGGGAGGCAGCAGUGGGGAAUCUUGCGCAAUGGGCGAAAGCCUGACGCAGCAACGCCGCGUGCGGGAAGAAGGCCCUCGGGUUGUAAACCGCUUUCAAAAGGAACGAAACUGACGGUACUUUCAGAAGAAGGUGCGGCCAACUACGUGCCAGCAGCCGCGGUAAUAAU
rnacentral:rRNA from 1 species